rnacentral:RNase_P_RNA from 1 species
CGAGUCGGCUGGACGGCCGCGUGACGGCGCCCCGGCGUCGUCCCGAGGAACGUCCGGGCUCCGUAGAGCAAGGUGGUGGGUAACGCCCACCCGGGGUGACCCGCGGGACAGUGCCACAGAGAACAGACCGCCACGCUCGGCUCCGGCCGGGCGGGGUAAGGGUGAAACGGUGGUGUAAGAGACCACCAGCGGCCCAGGUGACUGGGCCGGCUCGGUAAACCCCACCUGGAGCAAGGUCGGACAGGGUGCGUUCGAGGGCUGCUCGCCCGAGCACCCGGGUAGACCGCUGGAGGCGUGCGGCAACGCACGUCGUAGAUGGAUGGCCGUCUCCCGCGCGGGGGCAACCGCGCGCGGUGACAGAACCCGGCGUACAGGCCGGCUCGUCCG